rnacentral:rRNA from 1 species
UACGUAGGGGGCAAGCGUUGUCCGGAUUUAUUGGGCGUAAAAGGCUUGUAGGUGGCCACGCCAAGUCGGAUGUGAAAUCUCCCGGCUCAACUGGGAGGGGUCAUUCGAUACUGGCGGGCUCGAGGCCGGUAGGGGGAAGUGGAAUUCCCGGUGUAGUGGUGGAAUGCGUAGAUAUCGGGAGGAACACCAGUGGCGAAGGCGGCUUCCUGGACCGGUUCUGACACUGAGGAGCGAAAGCGUGGGGAGCGAACGGG